CAAAAUUAUAACAAGUUGGGAUGGUUGCACACCCAUGAUUAUUAUUUUUUGUUUGGUUAUAUCAAGAAGUGUAAAUAUUAGGAUUUUUCUGCCAUUAAUUUGAUUCAAAAUUGAAUCUUGAUAAGAUUUUCUUUUAUCUUCUUCUCACAAAAUUGAAUCCAUUUGGGUUUUUUCAGUUGAGCUGAGAUUUUGCUGUUUGGCCUUUAAAAGUCCGUACAAAUGAAUUCUUCAACAUACACUCAGUUUGUUGCCUCGAGAAGGAUGGGCAUAUGUGAGCCGAUCCAUCAAAUUGGCAUGUGGGAUGAUUUCAAUGCUAGUUGUCCGAGUACAUCGACAACCAUGAUUCUAGAAGUUGAGAAAUGCUUAGAGGACCAGAUACCGAUGAUGGACAAAAGAUUAGACAUUGAGACAGAAGAUACUUCGCAUGGAACAGUAGGGACUUCUAAUAGAUAUGAAGCGGAAACAAGUAAACCCAUCGAGAAGGUACUUAGACGUCUUGCUCAAAACCGUGAGGCUGCUCGUAAAAGCCGUUUGCGGAAGAAGGCCUAUGUUCAGCAGUUAGAAAAUAGUAAAUUGAAGCUGAUUCAAUUGGAACAAGAACUAGAUCGGGCCAGAAAACAGGGUCUGUAUGUAGGUGCUGGUUUAGAUGCUAGCCAGAUAAGUUACUCUGGAACUGCUAGCUCAGGAACUGCUGUAUUUGAUACGGAGUAUGGUCAGUGGGUGGAAGAGCAAAAUAGACAAACAAAUGAUUUAAGGAAUGCUCUGCAUCAUUCUCAAAUUAGUGAAGCGGAAUUACGCAUUAUCGUUGAUGGUUGCCUGAACCACUACUUUGAGCUCUUCCGCGUCAAGGCUACGGCUGCUAAAGCUGAUGUCCUUUAUAUCAUGUCUGGCAUGUGGAAGACAUCAGCAGAACGCUUUUUUAUGUGGAUUGGGGGGUUUCGUCCAUCCGAGCUUCUAAAGGUUCUCACACCACAUCUUGAGCUCUUGACAGAACAACAACUCCGGGAGGUUUGUAACCUCAGGCAAUCGUGUCAGCAAGCAGAAGAUGCCUUAUCACAAGGAAUGGUAAAACUUCAUCAGAUUCUCGCUGAGGCUGUUGCAGCUGGUCAAUUAGGUGAAGGGAAUUACUCUCUUCCGCAGAUGGGGCCUGCCAUCGAGAAGUUGGAAGCUCUUGUUAGGUUCGUAAAUCAGGCAGAUCAUCUCCGGCAAGAAACACUUCAACAGAUGUCCCGCAUCCUGAAUACGCUCCAAGCAGCUCAGGGCUUACUUGCCUUGGGGGAGUACUUUGAACGGCUUCGUGUUCUAAGCUCACACUGGGCUACUCGUCUUCAUGAGCCGGCCUAAUGAAGCUAUAGAAGAUCCCUCAAUACACCAUUCGACGAGUUUUGCCUUCAGAAACUAUACUAUGUUUUGGUUCGGAAGAGUGUUGCUCACUUAGAGAGACAGAUCCAGGAUUUGAACUUUAAUGAGUUCAGCCUCGCAAUGAACUCAUACAAGUAAAAUCAUGGAUUUGAUCCAAGUACGUUUGUUGAGUUUUUUUAGUAGGUUUUAAGUUUUAACGUAUACAUAUAUGAACUCCGUGUCUAAAAUUAUGGACCGUGUCGAAAGUUAUGGAUUCAGAUAAACGCGUAGCCAAUUGGCUACGUCCGUUUUGCUCGCUU